rnacentral:rRNA from 1 species
ACGCUCGACACCUACGAGAGGCAGCAGUGAGGAAUAUUGGUCAAUGGACGCAAGUCUGAACCAGCCAUGCCGCGUGCAGGAUGACGGCUCUAUGAGUUGUAAACUGCUUUUGUACGAGGGUAAACGCAGAUACGUGUAUCUGUCUGAAAGUAUCGUACGAAUAAGGAUCGGCUAACUCCGUGCCAGCAGCCGUGGUAAUCUGAGCGGCUGGCAAGGC